rnacentral:rRNA from 1 species
AUUGAACGCUGGCGGCAGGCCUAACACAUGCAAGUCGGGCGAGUGGAGGACGGGUGAGUAAUGCUUGGGCAUCUAGCUUAUGGAGGGGGAUAACUACUGGAAACGGUAGCUAAUACCGCAUAACAUCAGAUCAACCCAUAUGGGAUUAGCUUGUAGGUGUGGUAACGGCUCCACUAGGCAACGAUCCCUAGCUGUGCUGAGAGGAUGAUCAGCCACACUGGGACUGAGACACGGCCCAGACUCCUACGGGAGGCAGCAGUGGGGAAUAUUGCACAAUGGGCGCAAGCCUGAUGCAGCACUGCCGCGUGUAUGAAGAAGGCCUUAGGUUUGUAAAGUACUUUCAGCGGGGAGGCGUUACCCGCCGAAGAAGCACCGGCUAACUCCGUGCCAGCAGCCGCGGUAAUAC